GACGAACGCUGGCGGCGUGCUUAACACAUGCAAGUCGAACGGAAAGGCCCCUUUGGGGGUACUCGAGUGGCGAACGGGUGAGUAACACGUGAGUAACCUGCCCUGACUUCGGGAUAACUUCAGGAAACUGGGGCUAAUACCGGAUAGGAAUCCUUGCUGCAUGGUGGGGGUUGGAAAGCUUCGGCGGUUUUGGAUGGACUCGCGGCUUAUCAGCUUGUUGGUGGGGUAGUGGCUUACCAAGGCUUUGACGGGUAGCCGGCCUGAGAGGGCGACCGGCCACAUUGGGACUGAGAUACGGCCCAGACUCCUACGGGAGGCAGCAGUGGGGAAUAUUGCACAAUGGGCGGAAGCCUGAUGCAGCAACGCCGCGUGCGGGAUGACGGCCUUCGGGUUGUAAACCGCUUUCAGCAGGGGCGAAGCUUGUGGUGACGGUACCUGCAGAAGAAGCACCGGCUAACUACGUG
rnacentral:rRNA from 1 species